CCGUCGAUUUUCGACGGCUCGUCUGAAAUGCCUGAGUGUACCCCCACUUUUUGUGGCGUAUUCGGUGUGAUACAUCUUCACCGGAGUCGAUCCUUUUGGAUCACGCCUGCAUGGGUGUGGCUCUAUGCUUCCCAACCGUCUUCACAGACAAUCUCUGACAAUUUGACCUCAAAUCGGGUGGGACUACCCGCUGAACUUAA
rnacentral:misc_RNA from 1 species